rnacentral:lncRNA from 1 species
CAUGCCUCAGAACGAAGGCCUGGGAACAUGGGGUGCACAUUUCCCCUUACCUAUCCUGUGUUCUUUGUAACCUCCCUUGCCCUGCCACUCUGCAGAAGUCUGGACCCGUGAACUACCCACAGCUGAAGGGGAGCUUCCCGGAGAAUCUGAAGCACCUUAAGAACUCUAUGAAUGGUCUGGACUGGAAGGUAAACAGCCUCUGCUGGAAUCGCCUCUUCCCACAGUAGCCUCAGGACUAGAACGAAGCAAAGGGUGGGCCAGAGGAGCUGUUCUCGGGAAGCUACCGAGGGCCUUCUAACAUUCAUGAUACCCCCGUGGGUCUUUAAGAGGCACCGAGGCUGCAGCUGGACUCCCCCAAGUUUGUAAUCAGGGUAGAGCCCGGAAGGGUAGGCUGUUGACUCCUGACCCUGACCAUCCACCUCUCUUCUCCUUAGGUCUUUGAGAGCUGGAUGAAACAGUGGCUGUUGUUUGAAAUGAGCAAGAACUCCCUGGAGGAGAAGCAGCCCACCCAGACUCCACCUAAAGGUACCAGGAUGGGAACUUCAGCCUGCCUGUUGCAGUGUCCCAUUCUCUCAGCUCACGCUUUCUUUUCUUGUCUGUUCCUUCAAGGUUUGGAAACCUUUAUAUCUUGUCUGUGGGUCUGUUCUUUCACACACAUGUCCAGAGUACAGAGGCCUCUAGUCUCUGUCUUGGAGCAAAACCAACUCAAAACGGACCAGGCAGGAAUGCCCCCAUCAGUACAUAAACAUGAAGAGGCAGAGGGCCACAGUGUCAGUUCGUGUCCAGACAGAGCCCUGGGCGCCUCUCAUCUCACCAGCAAUGCCAGCAUUUAGGAGGCUUGGACAUCAAGCACUGGGGAAUACCUUGGCUUUACCUUGCUGCUGUCUCAAAGUUGCUGUUCAGUGCUGGACAAGCCUGUCCCACCAGGCUUCUGUGUCCCACAAGUGGAAGGCUAGAGGUCCAUAUUGCCCUAGAC